CACGUAGGUGGCUAGCGUUAUUCGGAUUCACUGGGCGUAAAGGGUCCGCAGGGGGCCUGCCAAGUCUGUCGUGAAAUCCCGGGGCUCAACCCCGGGCCUGCGGUGGAGACUGGCGGGCUGGAGUGCGUGAUGGGCAGACGGAACACCUGGUGUAGCGGUGGAAUGCGUGGAUAUCAGGUGGAACACCGACGGCGAAGGCGGUCUGCUGGCGCGCAACUGACCCUCAUGGACGAAAGCGUGGGUAGCAAACAGGAUUAGAUACCCUGGUAGUCCACGCCGUAAACUUUGAGAACCAGACAUGGUGGGGCUGGCCCCCUCCGUGUCCAAGUCAACGCGAUAAGUUCUCCGCCUGGGGACUACGGCCGCAAGGCUAAA
rnacentral:rRNA from 1 species